AAAAAGGGCAUUUCAUCACACUUUGUCCUACUCGUCCUCCUAGGCUUCCAGCUCUCCGACUGGGUACUACUUUCCUUCACGCCUGCCUAAAAAGCUACAUAGAAGCCGUCAGUCUUGCCCAUGCUUGGCUUCCACGAGAGAACCUCCAUCCCCUGCUCCAGAGCCGCUUGCAUCUACUCCCGAAGUUACUAAUACCAUCACUACUUCCUGCCAGCCCAAAAAA